rnacentral:lncRNA from 1 species
GUUGGUUAGAUAUAUUGAAGUGCUAACCUAAUUUAAUCAGUCGGAUGUCAGAUCUAUUGAUUUAGAAAAAAUCUAAACCCAAAUCUCCUUAUUAAAUAUUAAGUCUAGAGGUCUUUCAUUAUUGUAGAGAUGCGGGUGCCUUCCUGACGUUGAUCAUUCUCGAUUGGUUACAGUGAUUUGAUUGCAUCAGAAAGGUACAAUCACUCUAUUGACAUUUGAUGUCUUGGGAUAGAGAUAGGGUUGGGCCCAAUAACUAUUAGGUGAGGAUUUCAAUGACGAUUUUAUGCCCACUGGUGAAUGAUGGGUCUGACUUAACUAAGAAAUAUGCCAAUAACUAUUAGGUGAGGCCACAGAACUUAGAGAUCAAGCCCACUGCAUCUUGCUUAGUGAAGCAAUGGAUAAAAUAUUGUCCACUCAUUGGUCUG